GUUAAUUGUGAACAAGGUAUGGCAUGUUGGGAAAUGUACUGAUAAACUGUUGUGUGAAAGAAUAGUGAUCAGUGAGGACUUAUACCACCUGUGUAUAUGUCCUUAUAACAGACACUAAAAAUCUUUUGGUGGAAAACGAUUCAAAAUCGGAAAAAAACUAAAUAAAAAUGAUACAUGUGUUAUAUUUCUAAUUUGCAAAUACCUUAUUUCUAUCAGCAAACUUAUAGUUCAAUUAUUCAUUAUACCUAAAUAAAUAUAUAAAUAAGAUACACUGUUUUUGUACAAAAUUUAAUUUUAGUUGCAUAAAUUGUUAUUAGGAAGUUACUGAUAAUUUCCCAGAGUAGGGAAACCACCCCUGGUUACACCCCCACUCACACUCCUAAAAUUAAUGUGUCCUUAUUUUCCAUUUAAAACAUUGGGUGGUGUAAUUAGGAAAGGGACUUUUGGGACUAGCUCAGAGUACUGCAGCAAUUACUAAGGGAUAACACUUCCCAACCUGUGAUGAAAGGGAGGCUUCAUGCACAGAGCUUCAGACAAAAUGGUUUUAUUUCUGUACUUUUAAAUCAAAAGUGAAUAAGAUUGUACAAAUACACCCUGCUCCCGUGCCCUCUGAAGUGAAAUUCUAAAUUAAAUAGACUGUGAGUUAAAGGAAGUGUAAACAUUAGAUGACUCUUUACAGGAAGAGCUCAUGAAGGUUGCAUGUUUAAUGCAGGGAGGAGUGACUAGAGUUGCAUAAAAAAAAGUUAUUAAACUCCUAAAUAAAGGUAUACAACUAAGAAUAAAUGUACCUGGAAUCUAAUGCUGGCUUCCAUGCCUAUGUCCAACAUCACAGCCUCCAUCGCACAGUCCAAUCAAAUGCUUCUCCUAAAGGAGUGGGGUUGGACAAAGAGUGGGAGGGAGGGGCAAAAAAACAUAGGGAGACAAGGAGAAUGUGAAUGAAAGAAGUAAGGGAGGAAAAGAAGAUCAAGCAUCACCUUUUAGAUACUGCCUGCAAGGGAGAAGCUCAUUACAUCUGUUACCAGCUGCUGUGUGCGCUGAUGACAGGUCUAUUUUUUGCCAGAAUUAAUAUUGGGUAGAAAACAGGAAAAGAAGGUGUAGCGCCUGAAGUGUCCUUUUGGUAAAAAAAAAAAAAAAAAGGAAAUACAAAAAAGACUGAUAGUAUAGUUAAUAACAUCUUGAUAGAGUAAGGAAAAUAAAAACAAUGUACACUUACACUUUCAGAGAGCUUAAAGGAUCAAUAUAGGGUCAGGAACACAAACAUGUAUUCCUGACCCUAUAGGGUUAAAACCACCAUCUAGCCCCCCUGGGCUUCUCAUGCCUCUAUAAAAUGUAGUAAAUCUUACUUGUAUUCAAGCCUGCAGUUUCAUGAUUGGUCUCGGUUUCCCUUAGACCUGCCCACUGCCUGCUGACAUCAUCAGAAGUGGUGGCCUGAUCCAAUCACAAUGCUUCCCCAUAGGAUUGGCUGAGACUGACAAAGAGGCACAUCGGGGCAGAGCCAGCAUGAUUCAAACACAGCCCUGGCCAAUCAACAUCUCCUCAUAGAGAUGAAUUCAUUCAAUGAAUCUCUAUGAGGAAAGUUCAGUGUCUGCAUGCAGAGGGAGGAGAUACUGAAUGUUUGGAUGCAUUUUAGGCAGCCAUGACCCAGGAAGGCUCUCUAACAGCUAUCUGAGGAGUGGCCAGUGAAAUUAUCACUAGGCUGCAAUGUAAAAACUGCAUUUUCUCUGAAAAGACAGUGUUUACAGCAAAAAGCCUGAAGGGAAUGAUUCUACUCACCAGAACAAAUUCAAUAAGCUGUAGUUGUUCUGGUGACUAUAGUGUCCCUUUAAAUACAGCUCUGACUUGCACGACUAGGCUGAAUAAUCCCCUCCUAUGGAUAUAUUGUGGUACAGAUUCUUCAAGUUAUCCAUAUAGCGAUGGGUAUCCUCAUAAAGUAUUAAAGACAGAAUAAAGGUAUAUAGUGUAGUAUGUUAAGACUAAUAAGCAGGGGUAGGUAUGUAAAUAGGUGUACACUCACAUAUUAUGGAGCGUAAGUAUUGGCUCCAGAACUAAUGCGCAAAGUGGUAUGAUCCACACUCUAGGAUAUAGGUGAUGUGGAUUUUCCUCUGUGAAUAUAUAAAAUAAAAAUCCAUAAUACUGCAUACCAUAAAAUUAGAGUGUCCAAAAGGACAUGUAAGCCAUGGGAAAUUAAAAUUAAUUGGAUGCCCUGCCUGUGCUUUUUCAGUUGACAUAUACAUAAUUAACACCCACAGGACUGUAUCAGAAUCCUGUAUAUUUACUUAAUGUGAUUGUUUUUCCAGGAACCAAAAUAUAUCUUUCAAAUUGUGUCACGUUAUGGAUUCUUUUUUGAACUAAAAGCGUUACAACAUAAACCAGGUUUAUUCAGCUUCUACAUUCAGGUAAUCAAUAAGGAUAUCUGUGCUAUUUGCUAUUAACCUCUUUAAGUAUUACAGAACUGUGUUAGGUUGCUAAAGGGUUUAAAAUGUUGUCAAAGGAUACCACAUAGAAUAUUAUAUUAUAUAGAAUAUCUUGGACGGGUUUUCUUUAUGUUUAAUUUAUUUUUUAAUUGUAUAUCAGAGUAUUACCAGAUAUUCCAUUUUGAUCUUUAGAUGUAUCUGAUUUUAAAUGGACACUAUAGUUACAAGAAUGACUACAGCUUAAUGUAAUAGUUCGGAGCAUAGAGCCUCUCUAUGCAGGGUUGGCAGUGUUAAUGCUGCAUGUUCAGAGAAAAUACAGUGUUUACAUUGCUGCCUACAUCCACCUAUAGUAUCUGCCACCUGGACAGCCCCUAGGGCAGGGGUGCCUAAAACUCAGAUUCCCGGAUGUUGUAGAACUACAAAUCCCAUGAUGCUUUGCAUACCUUUAGAAUGGUUUAAGAAUGACAAAGCAUCAUGGAAGCUGUAGUUUUAAAACAUUUAGGGAUCCACCUUUUGGGCACCCUUGCUCUAGGGGGACUUGCUGGACGAGGUCCAAUCUUCGCAUGUUCUACGUUCAGUGUCUUUCCAUAGAAAUUCACUGAUUUAAUGCAGAUUUCUGCAGUGAUUUGCCAAUAAACUUAAAACGCUUAUAAUGGGGAUUGGAAAGCAUUUUCAGCAGUGAUGGAUAGAUAGAAAGAUAGAUAGAUCUUGGUUUUAUAUGAUUGUUAUUUGUUUUUUAAUAAUUACAACAUAUAUAAUUUAAUAGAGGUUGAAACACACAGACCCCAUGUUGUCUCAUCAAACUUUGGAGAAUGAAUGUUUCAGUCUGCGGCAGGAACGUGAAAUUCAAUAUGAGAUUAGAGUGCAGAGGUUGGCAGACAAAAAAUGGCAAGAAUUCACCAC
rnacentral:lncRNA from 1 species